CCUUGACAUGCAGAGAACUUUCCAGAGAUGGAUUGGUGCCUUCGGGAACUCUGACACAGGUGCUGCAUGGCUGUCGUCAGCUCGUGUCGUCGAGAUGUUGGGUUAAGUCCCGUAACGAGCGCAACCCUUGUCCUUAGUUACCAGGCACGUUAUGGUGGGCACUCUAAGGAGACUGGCCGGUGACAAACCGGAGGAAGGUGGGGAUGACGUCCAAGUCAUCAUGGCCCUUACGGCCUGGGCUACACACGUGCUACAAUGGUCGGUACAAAGGGUUGCCAAGCCGCGAGGUGGAGCUAAUCCCAUAAAACCGAUCGUAGUCCGGAUCGCAGUCUGCAACUCGACUGCGUGAAGUCGGAAUCGCUAGUAAUCGUGAAUCAGAAUGUCACGGUGAAUACGUUCCCGGGCCUU
rnacentral:rRNA from 1 species